CAUGGCUCAGAGCGAACGCUGGCGGCAGGCCUAACACAUGCAAGUCGAGCGCCCAGCAAUGGGAGCGGCAGACGGGUGAGUAACACGUGGGGAUCUACCCAAUGGUACGGAAUAACCCAGGGAAACUUGGAUUAAUACCGUAUGUGCCCUUCGGGGGAAAGAUUUAUCGCCAUUGGAUGAACCCGCGUCGGAUUAGCUAGUUGGUGAGGUAAAGGCUCACCAAGGCGACGAUCCGUAGCUGGUCUGAGAGGAUGAUCAGCCACACUGGGACUGAGACACGGCCCAGACUCCUACGGGAGGCAGCAGUGGGGAAUAUUGGACAAUGGGCGCAAGCCUGAUCCAGCCAUGCCGCGUGAGUGAUGAAGGCCUUAGGGUUGUAAAGCUCUUUCGCCGGUGAAGAUAAUGACGGUAA
rnacentral:rRNA from 1 species